CAAAUUUGUAAUCUGGCGUCUUCGACGUCCGAGUUGUAAUCUCGAGAAGUGUUUUCCGUGAUAGACCGCAUACAAGUCUCUUGGAACAGAGCGUCAUAGUGGUGAGAACCCAGUACACGAUGCGGAUGCCUAUUACUUUGUGAUACACUUUCGAAGAGUCGAGUUGUUUGGGAAUGCAGCUCAAAUUGGGUGGUAAAUUCCAUCUAAAGCUAAAUAUUGGCGAGAGACCGAUAGCGAACAAGUACCGUGAGGGAAAGAUGAAAAGCACUUUGGAAAGAGAGUUAACAGUACGUGAAAUUGUUGGAAGGGAAACACAUGCAGUGAUACUUGCUAUUCGGGGCAACUCGAUUGGCAGGCCCGCAUCAGUUUUUCGGGGCGGAAAAUCGUAGAGAGAAGGUAGCAGUUUCGGCUGUGUUAUAGCUCUUUACUGGAUUCGCCCUGGGGGACUGAGGAACGCAGCGUGCUUUUAGCAUGAGCUUCGGCUUAUCCACGCUUAGGAUGCGGGUUUAUGGCUGUAUAUGACCCGUCUU
rnacentral:rRNA from 1 species